CCUGCAGCUGGCGACACGCAAAGAGAGGAGCGCACUAGGGAACCCGCGGGACGGCCAAGUGACCAGCAAUCUGCGCUCCUCUGGAAGCGGAGGAUGGCGAGAAGAGGCCACCAGAGAAAUAAAGGGCCAGAAGUUGCCACAGGCUGUUUGGCAAGAUAUUGAAAAUUACUCACACCAAUGAACAAGUAUAUUCCACUGUAUAAGUUAAAAGCAAAGACCAAGAUUGAUGACAUAAUUUGAAACUGCCUGAAGAUAACUAGUACAAUUAUAAUGUGGGAAGCAGCAAAAUUAACUAACUCACAGAAUUGACUGUAAUAUUUAUUUGAAUUUAAAGAAUUAAAGAUAAAAUUAUAGUUUAAUAAA